AUUGCCCAUACGGUGAUGGAUGUGGCGUGCUGCCUGCCCUCAGGAGCUUCCAGUCUCAUUUGUUAAGCAGAAGUAACAGUGGCUGGACACAGCAGAUGAUAGGUGCGAGCUGAGUGGUACCAACAGGAAUGGCCUAGGCUGUUGCAGGGCUGAACUUGCUUUUUGCACUGGUUGCAUAAUGUGGUACAAGAGUUUGGCUGAGACCUGAGAGGGGAGUGAGAAAAAGGGAGAAGUGGAGGGAGGGAACUCUCAGUGGGAAGAAUGGCAAAGGCAAGAUUUGGAGGUUAGGAAAUUUGUGCCGUGCUCUAGGGCCACUGAGUCCCACAUCCAUUCAUCCUGUCCAACCACCCAACUAUCCAGCCCUAAUUUACCCAAACCAACACACCAACCACUUUACCCAGCCACCUUCCCACAUACCAUCCAACCCACCCAUCCAAGCCACCAGCCUAACCCAACCCCACAUCUAUCAUCAACCCACCAGCUCACCUCACCAGCAUGAGCCAGCUCUUCCACCCACCACCCAUCCCACCAGCCCCGGGGAAGAGCUUGAACUCCAGGGUGGAUGAUUGGGGUUCAAUUCUUGACUCUGUCACUUUCUGCUGUGGAGUCUUGGGCAACUUUCUUGACGUUUCUGUGUCUCAGAGUUGUUGUAUUUGAAAUGAGGGUGAUGAUCAUAUGUGUUAUUGUAAGGAGCUGAUGGCAUCUUGGGCCAAUGCACAGCAUCCCAGGCACGGCAUCUGGGAGCUAGUGAGUACUCACUCUACAGUCGCACUUGCUGUGUAGCUUGAUGUGAUUUAUUUCAAAGCCAGUGGGGCCCAUUAGGAAGGGGAGAACUGGGGCUGAAGCUGAGCUGGAGAAAGUUAAGCCAUAGAGAACUUUAAAAAAGGUUAAGCAGAAGGAUCAGAUCCCUGGGCUGGGGGCCCACCAGGCCAUUUGUCUGGGCCCAAAUCUGGUAGGGGGGAGAUGGAUACCUGGAGGCUCUUCCAUCAUCCCCCCACUCCAGGCGGACCUCCUUGGGAAGCUGGGGACCCGGAGUUUGUCAGCCAGGAACUCGUUCUCAUAUCUAAACCUCUCCGUGUGUCUAAACAUUUUGCUGAUGGGCCCAGCCCCAGCCAGCCAGCCUGGGCAGGGCAGCGGGGAGCAGGCCCGCUCAUCUGUAGAUCUUUCGUCCCUCUCCAAGACCCCAGCUGGCCCAACCCUCUUCCACCCUGUAUCCCACCAGCCUCCUGCAGACGGAAAGGAAGGUUUCCUGCAGCCCAUAUCCAGCCAGAAACCUCCAGUGGCUCCCAUCUAGCUGCCUCAAGAAAUGCUUUUGAUCAUCUAAAUCCAGGGCUCAUCUGCACCCUCGUGUGGUCCCAGCAGAGAAGACGAGGCACCGAGCUUCUCAGGACUCCGUCCUCGGUAGGCUGAGCCGUGCAGCCGGCUGGUGACAGCGGGAGGACCAGACGACCUUACCCAGAGCCUCACAGGCUGCAGAGCUUUAAUUUAUUUAAUCAAUUCUGGUCCCCGGGCUGGGGAAGGAAAACGGCAGGAUAUUAAAUCUGUCGCUCUCGCCAAUCUGUCAUAGGGCUGUCAGUGCACAUUGAUUCUCCUCCUCCCGCCUUUAUUAA
rnacentral:lncRNA from 1 species